ACGGUACCUAUAGAAGAAGCACCGGCCAACUACGUGCCAGCAGCCGCGGUAAUACGUAGGGUGCGAGCGUUGUCCGGAAUUACUGGGCGUAAAGAGCUCGUAGGUGGUUUGUCGCGUUGUUCGUGAAAACUCACAGCUUAACUGUGGGCGUGCGGGCGAUACGGGCAGACUGGAGUACUGCAGGGGAGACUGGAAUUCCUGGUGUAGCGGUGGAAUGCGCAGAUAUCAGGAGGAACACCGGUGGCGAAGGCGGGUCUCUGGGCAGUAACUGACGCUGAGGAGCGAAAGCGUGGGGAGCGAACAGGAUUAGAUACCCUGGUAGUCCACGCCGUAAACGGUGGGUACUAGGUGUGGGUUUCCUUCCUUGGGAUCCGUGCCGUAGCUAACGCAUUAAGUACCCCGCCUGGGGAGUACGGCCGCAAGGCUAAAACUCAAAGGAAUUGACGGGGGCCCGCACAAGCGGCGGAGCAUGUGGAUUAAUUCGAUGCAACGCGAAGAACCUUACCUGGGUUUGACAUGCACAGGACGCCGGCAGAGAUGUCGGUUCCCUUGUG
rnacentral:rRNA from 1 species